rnacentral:rRNA from 1 species
CAAAACCUUGUGCUUUUGGAGCGGCCGAUGUCUGAUUAGCUAGUUGGUGAGGUAAAGGCUUACCAAGGCGUCGAUCAGUAGCUGGUCUGAGAGGACGACCAGCCACACUGGGACCGAGACACGGCCCAGACUCCUACGGGAGGCAGCAGUGGGGAAUUUUGGACAAUGGGGGAAACCCUGAUCCAGCCACGCCGCGUGAGUGAAGAAGGCCUUCGGGUUGUAAAGCUCAUUCAGCCGGAACGAAACGGUCACGGUUAAUACCCGUGACUACUGACGGUACCGGAAGAAGAAGCACCGGCUAACUACGUGCCAGCAGCCGCGGUAAUACGUAGGGUGCGAGCGUUAAUCGGAAUUACUGGGCGUAAAGCGUGCGCAGGCGGUUUUGUAAGUCAGAUGUGAAAUCCGGGCUUAACCUGGGAACU